rnacentral:tRNA from 1 species
CGGGACUGGCCGGAUUUGAACCGGCGACCUAGCGCUUAGGAGGCGCUUGCUCUAUCCUGCUGAGCCACAGCCCC